rnacentral:rRNA from 1 species
UAAUACGAGAGGUGCAAGCGUUAUUCGGAAUUACUGGGCGUAAAGGGUGUGUAGGUGGUUUGUUAAGUCAGCUGUUAAAUAUCUCGGCCUAACCGAGAAAAUGCGGUUGAUACUGGCAGACUAGAGGGUGGAAGAGAGAAGUGGAAUUCUCGGAGUAGCGGUUAAAUGCGUAGAUCUCGAGAGGAACACCGAUGGCGAAGGCAGCUUCUUGGUCCAUACCUGACACUGAUGCACGAAAGCGUGGGGAGCAAACAGGAUUAGAUACCCUGGUAGUCCACGCUGUAAACGAUGAUCACUAGACGUUAGCCCUGCUUAGCAGGGUUGGUGUCGUAGCUAACGCGUUAAGUGAUCCGCCUGGGGACUACGAUCGCAAGAUUAAAACUUAAAGGAAUUGACGG